rnacentral:rRNA from 1 species
UACGUAGGGGGCAAGCGUUGUCCGGAAUCAUUGGGCGUAAAGAGCGCGUAGGCGGUCCGGUAAGUCAGCUGUGAAAGUCAAGGGCUCAACCCUUGAAAGCCGGUUGAUACUGUCGGGCUAGAGUCCGGAAGAGGCGAGUGGAAUUCCCGGUGUAGCGGUGAAAUGCGCAGAUAUCGGGAGGAACACCAAUGGCGAAGGCAGCUCGCUGGGACGGUACUGGACGCUGAGGCGCGAAAGCGUGGGGAGCAAACAGGAUU